AACUGACUCAACGCUUAUUUACAUGUUUAGCUAUGAGACAUAUCAAAGUGGAAAUGCAAAAAAAUGUAAAAUCUAAUUAAAAAUAAUGAAUGGGAAACACUGACAUUCUUCAGUAUAUUUAUAGCCUGUAUGCCAGAGACAGUAUUUCUAGUACUGUAGUCAGUCGGAAGACUCCUCGGAUCUCAGGCGUUUAGAUUUGGAGAAGCACUGGACUCACGUUCAUCCAGGGAGCGUGAGGGCUCCGGAAGUGAGGUGGUGGAAGAUUAAAGACUAAAACAUCUGGACUUCAUUUGUACACUGGACAGAGAAAAACUCACAAUGAAAAUGCUAUCUGUUAUCCUGUAAGUCUAAUUAGUGACUAUGAAUAAAGGUAGAGGGUUUUAUCUGAAUAUUAUAAGUGAAAACCAUUAGCCGAAAAACGGGACUGGUCCUACUACUAUUCUGUAGUAGGACGUUUCGACAGUUGGUUUGAGGAAAUAUGUGUGUGACCGGCGCGUAAUGUGCGCGCGCCUCCCUGUUGUUCCAUAGCCUGUGGAGCUGUUGUUCUCAGAGUUAGAGAAGGAACAACCACACGGACACUGGGAAUAGAGCAACAAAGGAGAAAGUAUGAGCCUAACGAAAAGUCUCAGGCAUUGUCUUUAAAAUAUUUUGUAUUGGGAUUAAUUCAGUCUUCGCAGUAUUUCAUUUUUUUGGAGGCAGAGUAGUUCCAGCUAUGGAUUUACCUAUGACCAGACGAGCAACACUGUCCAGUCGUCAUCGGAACUUUUGAUUGUCAUCAUUUUACCCUCGACCCAGAAGAAGACAGCGCUCACAAAUCAAGUGAACUUUUGAAAAUGCAUUUGAUUUGGAGAUAGGUAGCCACAUGAUACAACUUUGUCGACAACAACCACAACUACAUCGGCCUACUUUGGUUUUGCUGCACCCGCCGACUUCGCACAUGGGAACCUCCCCCCUACAUUGUGGACUUCAAAGUGCAAGCAACGCCGGUGACCCAACCAGGCUUCCUGGGCAACUGAGACGUGAUUCUGGGACGGGCACAGUCCCUCCCCUCAGCCUGCCUGCCCUGCGUCAUCCCCGUCUCCCAGACGUCUCCUCUUGAGAGAAUGACCAUCGGCCCAGACCAGCUCUACC
rnacentral:lncRNA from 8 species